CCUACGGGGGGCUGCAGUGAGGAAUAUUGGUCAAUGGGCUUACGCCUGAACCAGCCAAGUCGCGUGAGGGAAGACUGCCCUAUGGGUUGUAAACCUCUUUUGUCAGGGAGCAACGCCGGCUACGUGUAGCCGGACUGAGAGUACCUGAAGAAAAAGCAUCGGCUAACUCCGUGCCAGCAGCCGCGGUAAUACGGAGGAUGCGAGCGUUAUCCGGAUUUAUUGGGUUUAAAGGGUGCGCAGGCGGAAUUUUAAGUCAGCGGUAAAAUCGUGGGGCUCAACCCCAUUCCGCCGUUGAAACUGGGGUUCUUGAGUGGGCGAGAGGUAUGCGGAAUGCGUGGUGUAGCGGUGAAAUGCAUAGAUAUCACGCAGAACCCCGAUUGCGAAGGCAGCAUACCGGUGCACAACUGACGCUCAGGCACGAAAGCGUGGGUAUCGAACAGGAUUAGAUACCCCAGUAGUC
rnacentral:rRNA from 1 species